rnacentral:tRNA from 1 species
AGUGUGUUGGCAGAAUAGUGCAAUUGAUUUAGGAUCAGUUUAUGGUGCAAUACCACACACUA